GUUCAACUAGAUUUAAAUACU
rnacentral:piRNA from 1 species